rnacentral:rRNA from 1 species
UACAGAGGGUGCAAGCGUUGUUCGGAAUUAUUGGGCGUAAAGGGAGUGUAGGCGGCUUGUUAAGUCUUCUGUGAAAUCUACGGGCUCAGCCUGUAAAGUGCAGAGGAAACUGGCGAGCUUGAGUGUCGGAGAGGAUAGGGGAAUACCCGGUGUAGAGGUGAAAUUCGUAGAGAUCGGGUGGAACACCAGUGGCGAAGGCGCCUAUCUGGCUGACAACUGACGCUGAUACUCGAAAGCAUGGGGAGCAAACAGG